rnacentral:lncRNA from 1 species
CCCAUAUUGUUAUUUAGGCCCCCAUCCACCGCUCAGGGGUGGGGGCCAGGGGGGGACAAUAGGUUCCCCCCUUAUUGUUAUUUAGGGCCCCCACCCGCCACUCAGGGGAGGGGGGCGAGGGGGGACAAUAGGUCCCUCCCCUAUUGUUAUUUAGGGCCCCCACCCACCACUCAUGGGUGGGGGUGGGGGAAUAGGUCCCCCGUUCAGUUUAAUAGUCCCCACUCGUGCGGCACGGGUGGGGGCUCGGGAGGGUGAAUACUAGAGGUUUUUUUUGUUUUUUUAACUAGACAUAGUUGUUUUGUUUACUAGACCAAUUUAGGUCCUUCAGCCUUUUGGUAGAUAGCUCCCUGAUUAGAGAUGUCGCGAACUUCAACAUGGAUGCUGUCCAGGAAGUAGGUUCGCGACAUCUCUAUCCCUGAUACUGUGGUAAUCAGGGAGCUAUCUACUAAGCGGCUGCAAGAUGCAUCCACGGCACGAAUAGGAUCAGAGUUUCAUUCAUUUGAAUGAAAUUCCGAUACGAACAAAGUCCGGAAUUGCGUCCUAACAUGAAUGGAGAAACUGUUCUCAUUCUGUUAGGACGCAAUUCGGUAGCGUAGCCGGCAGUCUGUCUAAAAUGGCAGGACGUUCGGGAAAUGUGAAAGGAGGCUUCGCGGGAACACGGAGGAAAGGUAAGAAUUGUGGGGAAAUUGCUCUGACCACUGGAAAUGAAGUACACUUUGCUACUCCGCUUGUCAGGCGUAGGAAACCUCCAUAGGACAAAGUAGUCCCUACUUUGUCUUAUGUUUUAAAGAAAACUAGAGAAGACAGGAAGAAAUGAAGAACAGAUCCUGACAGAGGGAGAGAAGAGGAAUCGAUUGGGGAAAGGUAAGAUCGGCAUAACAGUGCGGCUUUAAGCUAACAGGUGUGCAGUUAGUUCUUAUGGGCAAUUGUAUUCUUAUAAGACUAUAAUCUCACUGGAUGCAGAGGCCUGGGAAAAGAUGACUUGGUGGCUGUCGUACAUGGGCACAUGGAACAGGAGGGUCAUCUUUGGAUCCACACCAGACCUGGUCAUAGAGUCGGACACAAGCUUGCACGCUGGGAGCGUUGAUUGGUUCAUUUAACAUUUUCUAUAAACUGCACAUAGUGUUUUUCCUUUUAUAUGCAAUGCUUUGGUUCAUAAAAAAUAAUAAGAUAAUAAUAUACCUUAUUCGUUUUCCAUUGGCUUGUCUUGAUUUGUUUAUGCCUUUCAAUACUUCCUGAUAUUACUAUGUUUUCUUCUCAUUUUUAUUAGCGAUAUGACUUUUUUCCCCAACGGUUUAUUGGCCUAUUUGUUCAGAUACUGAUCUUGUUUGGCCGUUUCUGUAAUUUCUUCAGGUAGCAAAAAAGAGGAAGUGCUUGGGAUGUCCUACACCUUUUAUGACCUGUAGUUGUUUGUGAUUGCUUGCUGUGUUACUAUGUAUGAUGUUUAACUCUUUCAUGAUUUUUUCUCGUGUGUUUUUCUUUGCUGCUGAGGAAAAUAAUCAAAGAAUAGACUUAUACUCACCUCCAUGUCAUUAAUAAAACAACAACUUUACAUCAUAUUAAUAGUAAAAACUUGGGGGGGUCAUGGGAUAUCUUGGCAUUUACAUUAAAGCAGAUAUUUGGCAAUCGUUUAAACAAU